UACGGAGGGUGCAAGCGUUGUCCGGAAUCACUGGGCGUAAAGGGCGCGUAGGCGGCUCGGUAAGUAGGGGGUGAAAUCCUGCGGCUUAACCGCAGGGCUGCCUUCUAAACUGUCGAGCUUGAGCACGGUAGAGGCAGAUGGAAUUCCCGGUGUAGCGGUGGAAUGCGUAGAGAUGCGGAGGAACACCGAUGGCGAAGGCAGCCCCCUGGGCUAACACUGACGCUGAGGCACGAAAGCGUGGGGAGCAAACAGG
rnacentral:rRNA from 1 species